rnacentral:misc_RNA from 1 species
AGCAGCCGCGGUAAUUCCAGCUCCAAUAGCGUAUAUUAAAGUUGUUGCAGUUAAAAAGCUCGUAGUUGAAUUUCGGGAUUGACACAUCGGUCGUGCCUUAAGGGGUAUGAACUGGUGUAGUCAAUUUCUCACCUUCUGGAGAACCGCGAUGCCUUUAAUUGGGUGUCGCGGGGAACCAGGACCUUUACUUUGAAAAAUUAGAGUGUUUAAAGCAGGCAUUUUGCUUGAAUACAUUAGCAUGGAAUAAUAAAAUAGGACGGCAUGAUUCUAUUUUGUUGGUUUCUAGGAUCACCGUAAUGAUUAAUAGGGAUAGUUGGGGGCAUUAGUAUUCAAUUGUCAGAGGUGAAAUUCUUGGAUUUAUUGAAGACUAACUACUGCGAAAGCAUUUGCCAAGGAUGUUUUCAUUAAUCAAGAACGAAAGUUAGGGGGAUCGAAGACGAUCAGAUACCGUCGUAGUCUUAACCAUAAACUAUGCCGACUAGGAAUCAGACGAUGUUAAUUUUUAAUGAACUCGUUUGGC